CUGGCAGAGCUGGAACCAGUGGGCGAUGAGGGCUGCUCAGGGUCCAGAUUCACCAGGCAGGUCGGGAACGAGCAGCCAUCACCUGAACUGGAGAUUCAGCAGAAAAGACGAAAGGAAGCAUGAGCCAAUCAUUUUCAUUAAAAUGCUCCCUAUAUGUUUGUAAAUGAAGCUUCACUAAACCAUGCAGAUUGUUUUUUCAAGCUUUUUC